CCUACGGGAGGCUGCAGUGGGGAAUAUUGGGCAAUGGGCGCGAGCCUGAACCAGCAACGCCGCGUGAAGGAAGAAGGCUUUCGGGUUGUAAACUUCUUUUAUCAGGGACGAAGAAAGUGACGGUACCUGAGGAAUAAGCCACGGCUAACUACGUGCCAGCAGCCGCGGUAAUACGUCGGUGGCAAGCGUUAUCCGGAUUUAUUGGGUGUAAAGGGCGUGUAGGCGGGAACGCAAGUCAGAUGUGAAAACUAAGGGCUCAACCCUGAGCCUGCAUUUGAAACUGUGUUUCUUGAGUGCUGGAGAGGUAAUCGGAAUGCCGGGUGUAGCGGUGAAAUGCUUAGAGAUACGGAGGAACACCAGUGGCGAAGGCGGAUUGCUGGACAGUAACUGACGCUGAGGCGCGAAAGCGUGGGGAGCAAACAGGAUUAGAUACCCUUGUAGUC
rnacentral:rRNA from 1 species